rnacentral:tRNA from 3 species
AAAAUCCGUCGAUUAAAAAUCGUGAGGGUUCAAGUCCCUCUAUCCCCA